CACGUAGUUAGCCGGUGCUUUUUCUGCAGGUACCGUCACUUUCGCUUCUUCCCUGCUAAAAGAGGUUUACAACCCGAAGGCCUUCGUCCCUCACGCGGCGUUGCUGCAUCAGGCUUGCGCCCAUUGUGCAAUAUUCCCCACUGCUGCCUCCCGUAGGAGUCUGGGCCGUGUCUCAGUCCCAGUGUGGCCGGUCACCCUCUCAGGCCGGCUACCCGUCGUCGCCUUGGUGAGCCAUUACCUCACCAACUAGCUGAUAGGCCGCGAGCUCAUCCCUGACCGAAGUUCUUUCCAGCCGCUGCAGAUGCCUGCUCGGCUCGUAUCCGGUAUUAGACGCCGUUUCCAGCGCUUAUCCCAGAGUCAGGGGCAGAUUGCUCACGUGUUACUCACCCGUUCGCCACUAAUCCAGAGGAGCAAGCUCCUCCUUCAUCGUUCGACUUGCAUGUGUUAAGCACGCCGCCAGCGUUCAUCCUGAGCCAGGAUCAAA
rnacentral:rRNA from 1 species